rnacentral:rRNA from 1 species
AACGAACGCUGGCGGCAUGCCUAACACAUGCAAGUCGAGCGCCUGUAGCGAUACGGGAGCGGCGCACGGGUGAGUAACGCGUGGGAACCUGCCCUUAGGUUCGGGACAACCGCGGGAAGCUGCGGCUGAUACCGGAUGAAGUCCCCGAUAGAGAUAUUGGGGCCCAAAGAUUUAUCGCCUUUGGAGGGGCCCGCGUCGGAUAGGUAGUUGGUGGGGUAACGGCUCACCAAGCCUGUGAUCCGUAGCUGGUCUGAGAGGAUGAUCAGCCACACUGGGACUGAGACACGGCCCAGACUCCUACGGGAGGCAGCAGUGGGGAGUAUUGGACAAUGGGGGCAACCCUGAUCCAGCAAUGCCGCGUGGGUGAUGAAGGCCUUCGGGUUGUAAAGCCCUUUCGGCGGGGACGAUGAUGACGGUACCCGCAGAAGAAGCCCCGGCUAACUUCGUGCCAGCCGCCGCGGUAAUAC